GAGAGAGAGUAUUGUGAUCUCCUGCAGUGAAUAUUAGGUUAGAUUAGAAUCGAACAUCUUAGAGGAAUGUGAUCAGAAUAGGAGCAUAAAAUAAGGGACAAGAAAGAGAAGACCCAUUUGGGUUCACAUUUCCAAAUCAAUUAAAAAUGCAUUAGUUUUCUCUGAGGGAAUUAAAUGAGCAUUGGAGUUGAUGCACUGGUUCCCUCAUAAGUCAAAAUAUAUGGUGAAAUCACAUAAUAGCAAAGUCUCCUCCUUUAACUUUUUUUAUCCUUUCUUUUUGAAUUAUCUCUCAUAUUAUGAAAUAUGAAUUCAUUUUUGAGGUAGCUGGUGAGAUCUAAUUUCAUUUAUUUGUCCACUGGGCUAGAUUAAUUGCCUACUUUUGAACGUUGAAACUUCACCUUCUGGGCACUGGGCUCACCAUUUAAAUAUGCCAUUAACUGCCACAUUGAAUUCUCUCUCUCUCUCUCUUCGUUUGACUUGCAGGUUCCGGCAUGUUACAGUAAAAAAAGGAAAUUAACUUGAAACUGUAGUCUCCAUCCAAGGGCCAAGCUCUUUUUGUAUUCCGCACCUCCCAUGACGGAGUACUAAGCUUAAAAGUAACUCAUGGGGAUUCUUCAUUGGGCCUUGGAUUUGUCUAUUGUAGCAGAUGAGUUUCUUGAUAUAUCAUCAGACAGUUCAAGAUUAAAGGAGCAAACUUGGUGAGUUCUGUUCUGUUCAAUUUUUUUUUUCUUUUUUCCUUAACAAAUCAUGGACUGGGUUUCCCUUCAAAAUAAUGAAAGUACCAAUUUUUCUCCUUCGCAGCAACCAUAUUUUCUUUCUCAGCCACCUCCACAACCAAAUCUUGAUUCUGAUGGUUUUAACCUGAAUAACAAAAUUAGUCCCAGUGUAUUUCUUAUCAUCAUAAUUCUUGCUAUUAUUUUCUUUGUUUCUGGCUUGCUUCAUCUUCUAGUUAGAUUUCUUUUAAGACCACCCAAUAGAGAUCCAGAUAAUUUGGAGAAUGUGACUGCUUUUCAAGGGCAAUUGCAGCAACUCUUUCACCUCCAUGAUGCUGGUGUUGACCAGUCAUUUAUAGAUACCCUCCCUGUGUUCCAUUAUAAAGCCAUUAUUGGAUUGAAGAACCCUUUUGAUUGCGCUGUUUGUUUGUGUGAAUUUGAGCCUGAGGAUGAGCUUAGAUUGCUUCCAAAAUGUAGCCAUGCCUUUCACAUGGAGUGUAUAGACACUUGGUUAUUAUCUCACUCCACUUGCCCUCUCUGUAGAAGUUGCUUGCUGCCUGAUUUCUCUCGAAACAAUAGUUGCUCUCCCAUUGUUUUUGUCCUUGAAUCUGGUAGUGAGAGCUCAAGGGAGAUUUUCACUGAUAGGGAGAACAAUAUUGGCAGAACCAAUUCAGUUUUAACCACAAAUUCCCAUCUGGGUUUGCAAGGAGACAAUGAUUUGGGAUCGUCAAGAAUUGAUAUUUCACACAAGUCAUGUGAAAUUGUGACAAAAGAUGAUUCUGGCCCAAAAAUUGUCGUGGAUUCAGGGGAGAAAGUUGUUCCCGUUAAGCUAGGAAAGUUUAAGAAUGUGGAUAUUGGUGAAGGAAGUAGCAAUAACAGUAAUGUUGAUGAAAGGAGGUGUUUUUCUAUGGGUUCAUUUGAGUAUAUAAUGGAUGAGAAUUGUUCAUUACGAGUUGCUGUAAGUACUCCAAUGAAGAAACAAUCAAGCAAGAAACCUCCUUUGCCAUUAACUCCUGGCCACAGGCCAGCAAUGUCUGAAUGUGUUUUCGAAUCAAGAAGCGAAUUCCAUGGCUUUGAAGGCAUUAAAACUUUUGAAGCUAAUAUUAUUGAAACCAGCAAUGGAAAUUCCAUUGGCAGAAGCAAAAGAGAGAGCUUUUCUAUAUCCAAGAUUUGGCUUAGAGGUGAAAAGGGGAAGCAGAAAUCAACUGGGGAUUAUUCAAGGAGGGCCUUUUCCUUUAGAUUUCCAGUGAACAAAAAUGUUGUCACUGAUAGUGAUCUCAAGGUGAAGAAUAGGAAUAAUUGUGCAAAGAGAACUAAUUCUGAGAUUGGAAUUGGAAGAUGGGAAAAUGAAAGUAGUGGAUUGGGUUUUGAUGAGGAGAAUCAGAGCUGUAAUGCAAAAACUCCUUCAUUUGCUAGGAGGACCCUGCUUUGGCUUGUUGGGAAACAAAAGAAGGUUAUUCACUCAACCUUUACACCUAAUGGCUAGUUUCUUGGAUUCUUUUUUUUUUCCUGGGAAAAUUUCCUUCUAUUCCAUAAUUAUGAGUAUGGCAGAAUUUGAAAGUCUCUAGUUUAAUUGAUAAGGAAAGCAGUAAUCAAGAAAAGCAGAGAAUUGAUAUUUAUUAUUGUUGCUUUUCUUUCUGUCCUUUUUAAAGUCAACGAUUUUUUUGCCUUGUAUGGUUUAAUAUAAUUGAGAUUAUAGAUUUGAACAACCAAAGUAAUUAAUUAUUUAAUUAGUUCUAACUUGGAAAGAUUCUGGA
rnacentral:misc_RNA from 1 species